rnacentral:rRNA from 1 species
AGAGUUUGAUCAUGGCUCAGGACUAACGCUGGCGGCGUGCCUAACACAUGCAAGUCGAACGGGCGUAGCAAUACGCCAGUGGCAGACGGGUGAGUAACGCGUAGAUAACGUACCCCUCCGCUGGGGAUAGCCACUGGAAACGGUGGGUAAUACCGAAUGUUCUUAUCGGGAGGCAUCUCUUGGUAAGGAAACUGGUAACG